rnacentral:rRNA from 1 species
AUUUGCCCUUAGGUCUGGGAUAGGGUUGGGAAACUGACUGUAAUACCGGAUAGAAGAUUGAUACUGGAAUGUGCUUUCUUCGAAAAGCAAUGCCUAAGGAUAAGUCGGCGGCUGAUUAGGUAGUUGGUGAGGUAAUGGCUCACCAAGCCUUGGAUCAGUACGGGGGAUGAGAGUCCUUGCCCCGAGAAGGGCACUGAGAUACUGACCCUAGCCCUAAAGGGUGCAGCAGGCGCGAAAACUUUACAAUGUGCGAAAGCAUGAUAAGGGAACUCCCAGUGCUACGUCUUCGGAUGUAGCUUUAGUCGAGUCUAAGAAUCUCGGCGAAUAAGUGGUGGGUAAGACGGGUGCCAGACGCCGCGGUAACACCCGAGCCACUAGUGGGGACCACAUUUAUUGGGUCUAAAGCGUACGUAGCCGGACUGUUAAGUCUCUUGUGAA